rnacentral:rRNA from 1 species
CGGGGGCCCGCACAAGCGGUGGAGCAUGUGGUUUAAUUCGAUGCAACGCGAAGAACCUUACCUGGUCUUGACAUCCACAGAACUUUCCAGAGAUGGAUUGGUGCCUUCGGGAACUGUGAGACAGGUGCUGCAUGGCUGUCGUCAGCUCGUGUUGUGAAAUGUUGGGUUAAGUCCCGCAACGAGCGCAACCCUUAUCCUUUGUUGCCAGCGGUCCGGCCGGGAACUCAAAGGAGACUGCCAGUGAUAAACUGGAGGAAGGUGGGAUGACGUCAAGUCAUCAUGGCCCUUACGACCAGGGCUACACACGUGCUACAAUGGCGCAUACAAAGAGAAGCGACCUCGCGAGAGCAAGCGGACCUCAUAAAGUGCGUCGUAGUCCGGAUUGGAGUCUGCAACUCGACUCCAUGAAGUCGGAAUCGCUAGUAAUCGUGGAUCAGAAUGCCACGGUGAAUACGUUCCCGGGCCUU